rnacentral:rRNA from 1 species
GAUGAACGCUGGCGGCGUGCCUAAUACAUGCAAGUCGAGCGAACAGACGAGGAGCUUGCUCCUCUGACGUUAGCGGCGGACGGGUGAGUAACACGUGGAUAACCUACCUAUAAGACUGGGAUAACUUCGGGAAACCGGAGCUAAUACCGGAUAAUAUAUUGAACCGCAUGGUUCAAUAGUGAAAGACGGUUUUGCUGUCACUUAUAGAUGGAUCCGCGCCGCAUUAGCUAGUUGGUAAGGUAACGGCUUACCAAGGCGACGAUGCGUAGCCGACCUGAGAGGGUGAACGGCCACACUGGAACUGAGACACGGUCCAGACUCCUACGGGAGGCAGCAGUAGGGAAUCUUCCACAAUGGGCGAAAGCCUGACGGAGCAACGCCGCGUGAGUGAUGAAGGUCUUCGGAUCGUAAAACUCUGUUAUUAGGGAAGAACAAAUGUGUAAGUAACUGUGCACGUCUUGACGGUGCCUAAUCAGAAAGCCACGGCUAACUACGUG